rnacentral:rRNA from 1 species
UACAUAGGGUGCAAGCGUUGUCCGGAAUUAUUGGGCGUAAAGAGCUCGUAGGUCGUUUGAUACGUCGGGUGUGAAAUUCAGGGGCUCAACCCCUGACCUGCAUUCGAUACGGUCAAGCUAGAGUUUGGUAGGGGAGACUGGAAUUCCUGGUGUAGCGGUGGAAUGCGCAGAUAUCAGGAGGAACACCAAUGGCGAAGGCAGGACUCUGGGCCAUUACUGACACUGAGGAGCGAAAGCGUGGGGAGCGAACAGG